rnacentral:rRNA from 1 species
CCUACGGGAGGCAGCAGUGGGGAAUUUUGGACAAUGGGCGAAAGCCUGAUCCAGCCAUGCCGCGUGAGUGAAGAAGGCCUUCGGGUUGUAAAGCUCUUUCAGCCGGAAAGAAAUCGCGCAGGCUAAUACUCUGCGUGGAUGACGGUACCGGAAGAAGAAGCACCGGCUAACUACGUGCCAGCAGCCGCGGUAAUACGUAGGGUGCGAGCGUUAAUCGGAAUUACUGGGCGUAAAGCGUGCGCAGGCGGUUAUAUAAGACAGAUGUGAAAUCCCCGGGCUCAACCUGGGAACUGCGUUUGUGACUGUAUGACUAGAGUACGGCAGAGGGAGGUGGAAUUCCGCGUGUAGCAGUGAAAUGCGUAGAUAUGCGGAGGAACACCGAUGGCGAAGGCAGCCUCCUGGGCCAGUACUGACGCUCAUGCACGAAGACGUGGGAGGACAACAGAGUAGUAUACCUACGUAGUCCGACCGACCCUAACCGACUAGUCAACUAGUUGUUCGGUGGUAGGAGAC